UUUGUUGUUCCACUUAUAUCUGCUCAUUUAUUCUACGUUGUGUUCACAUCUGCCUGAUUGUUGGAGAAACACGCCAUUCUGUUUUUUUAUAUAUAUAUUUAUAUAUAGCAGAGGAACGUAUUGCCGGCGUCAUGGUGAACCCCAUCGUGUAUAUGGACGGGGAUCAGAUCAUGCGGAUGGUGCUGAGUGCCGUGCCUUAUUUCCUGCUAUGCAUGGUCUUUUGGGUGUUCAUCCGCCUAGCGUGGAGAUGCUUCACCUACCCUAUGGAGCAGAGAAACAUCAUUCGUAAAGAAAAGCAAGAGGAAGAAAAGAAAAAAAAGAAAUAAAUGUAAUGCACUGUAAUUCUUCUGUGAAAGGCAAUAGGUAAAGAGAUAGCUACAAGAGAUCAAUAAUAAUAAUAAUAAAAAUAAUAAUAAUAAUAAUAAUAAUAUUACUAAUUAUAAUAUCUUUAUUUUAAUUAAUGUAAAAGCCACAAAAUACCCCUUUCCUUCUGUUAGAUCACAUAUUAUGGAACCAGUUAGUAUAGUACAAAAUAAACUAACAUUGCUUUUUUUUGUUCAUGUCAGUUCCUAGUUCUCUCUCUUUCUCUCUGCAAACUUUAUUGAACUAUAUUCAUGAAUAAUCACAUAUGAAGAGUUCACUGGUAGUACAGAAAAAUGUAUUGGCAUUCCCUUUGUGUUGUGGUGAGGCUGCCAGCAUUGUAUGCUGCAUUGUUAUUGCAUGAAGGACUGUGGCCUGAGCUUAAGCCUCACCAAGUAUUGAGCUUAAUGGGAGAAGACAGUGGGUCUCUACCUUCUAUUGAAUAAUAUAGUGCCAUUAUGGUUGUCAUAUUAUGAUGACAUCUUACACUCAUAGGAUUAAGCACUUGCGUAGAACCAUUACUAGUUGCCAUUAAAUAUAAUUGAGAGGAUAAUGGGGUGCUCUCAUGUUGUACUGUUGUCACAGGUAUGUAGGCAUACCUACACUAUCUAUGUAACAUUUUUGAAUUGCCAGUUUGGGAGAUAAAACUGAAAUAAACAACUUUUGUAAA